GCCCUCCAGGACAGAAGGGUUCUGUUGGGCCACCUGGUAUUUCAGGUAUCGAUGGAAUGAAGAUAGCAGUGUGUGACCGAUCAGCCACACUCCUCAUGGCACGGACCCACUGCAGCACACAAGGAAAGCCAAGAGCACAAGCAUGAUUACCUCAGCACCGGGACAACAGAUUGGGA